AGUAAUCUGCCCUUCACUUUGGGAUAACCCCCGGAAACGGGGGCUAAUACCGGAUAUGUAUUGUCUCGCGCAUGCGGGGUGGUGGAAAGUUUUUUCGGUGGAGGAUGGGCUCGCGGCCUAUCAGCUUGUUGGUGGGGUAAUGGCCUACCAAGGCGACGACGGGUAGCCGGCCUGAGAGGGUGACCGGCCACACUGGGACUGAGACACGGCCCAGACUCCUACGGGAGGCAGCAGUGGGGAAUAUUGGACAAUGGGCGGAAGCCUGAUCCAGCAACGCCGCGUGAGGGAUGACGGCCUUCGGGUUGUAAACCUCUUUCAGUAUCGACGAAGCUCUGGUCUGUGGGAUCGGGGUGACGGUAGGUACAGAAGAAGCACCGGCCAACUACGUGCCAGCAGCCGCGGUAAUACGUAGGGUGCAAGCGUUGUCCG
rnacentral:rRNA from 1 species